rnacentral:pre_miRNA from 1 species
ACACAGAUCACUUGGGAAUCUUGCUAAAAUGUAGAUUCUGAUUUUAUAAAUCUAAAGGUGGGGUCCAAAACUCUUCAUUUCUAAUAAGCUCCCAGGUGAUGCCAAU